rnacentral:rRNA from 1 species
CAUGUCUUUUUGAUUAUAAUUUAAAGUCUAAUCUGCCCCCUGAGGAUUUAAAUGGCCGCAGUAUUUUGACUGUGCUAAGGUAGCAUAAUCAAUAGUUUCUUAAUUAGAAGCUGGAAUGAAUGAUUGGAUGAGAUAAAAUCUGUCUCAAAUUUAAAUAUUAGAAUUUUAUUUUUAAGUAAAAAAGCUUAAAUAAUUUUAAAAGACGAGAAGACCCUAUAGAGUUUAAUAUUAAACCUUUAAUUUUAUAAUUAUAUAAAUAUUCUAUUAAAGUUUUAAUAUUUUGUUGGGGUGAUAGAAAAAUUUAAUAAACUUUUUUUUUAUUUAACCAUUAAUUUAUGAAUAAUUGAUCCAUUAAUUAUGAUUAUAAGAUUAAAUUACCUUAGGGAUAACAGCGUAAUUUUUUUUAAGAGUUCAAAUCGAAAGAAAAGAUUGCGACCUCGAUGUUGGAUUAAAGUUAAAUUUUGGUGUAGCAGCUAAAAUUUUAAGUCUGUUCGACUUUUAAAUCUUUACAUGAUCUGAGU